rnacentral:tRNA from 1 species
GAGGAUAUAGCUCAGGUGGUAGAGCACAUGUUUAGCAUGCACAAGGCCCUAGGUUCAAUCCCCAGUACCUCCU